rnacentral:rRNA from 1 species
UACGGAGGGUGCAAGCGUUAUCCGGAUUCACUGGGUUUAAAGGGUGCGUAGGUGGGCAGUUAAGUCAGUGGUGAAAUCUCCGGGCUUAACCCGGAAACUGCCAUUGAUACUAUCUGUCUUGAAUACCGUGGAGGUGAGCGGAAUAUGUCAUGUAGCGGUGAAAUGCUUAGAUAUGACAUAGAACACCAAUUGCGAAGGCAGCUGGCUACACGAGCAUUGACACUCAGGCACGAAAGCGUGGGGAUCAAACAGG